CACGUAGGGCGCAAGCGUUGUCCGGAAUUAUUGGGCGUAAAGAGCUCGUAGGCGGUCUGUUGCGUCCGCUGUGAAAACCCGAGGCUCAACCUCCGGGCCUGCAGUGGGUACGGGCAAACUAGAGUGCGGUAGGGGAGAAUGGAAUUCCUGGUGUAGCGGUGGAAUGCGCAGAUAUCAGGAGGAACACCGAUGGCGAAGGCAGU
rnacentral:rRNA from 1 species